ACUCCUACGGGAGGCAGCAGUAGGGAAUUUUCCACAAUGGGCGAAAGCCUGAUGGAGCAACGCCGCGUGCAGGAUGAAUGCCUUCGGGUUGUAAACUGCUUUUAUAUGUGACGAAUAUGACGGUAGCAUAUGAAUAAGGAUCGGCUAACUCCGUGCCAGCAGCCGCGGUAAU
rnacentral:rRNA from 1 species